rnacentral:lncRNA from 1 species
UUGGAAUCUCAUCAAUUCUAACAAAGGUCAAUAUAAAAUAUUGGAUAAAUAUAUUGUGAAUAUAGAAAUAAGGAAAUUGAGAGUCUAAGAGAAAGGCUAUUGAAUAAAUUGAGAAUUUGAGAGAACUGAGAAAUUAGAGAGGAUAUAGUUUUUGAAACAAUUGAAAAUAUUUUAAAAAAUAAAUAAAAUUUUGAAAGUAAAAUUAGAGAAUUAAAAAAAAAAAUGUCAUACCGUUUGGUACCAAUGGUCUAUUUCAAAAUGUACCAUUGGAAGAACUAGGCUGCACACCUGCAGGCCUCCAGCCUACGUGGCCCUUUUUAAAAAAAAUUAAAUUGAAAUCAAACUAGACUGGCGGUUCAAACCGGCCGGUUCCAGAUCAAGGAAAGGGGGCCAUAAUCAGCCCCCUAGUAGACGGUAUGGUUCGAUUCCAGAAAUCGAAAUCGUUUAACCGGUCCAGUCCUGGGUUUGACCUAGCCGGUUCCAUUCGAUUCACAAUCCAAACCAGACCAUGACUAGAUCUACCUAAAUCUUUCAAAAAAGCAUAUGUAGGCAACAAUUUUAAGCAAUUGCCAUUUGAUAUGUCUUGUCAUCUUGAAAUAUAUCAGUCUAGGAACCAAAUGCCACUUGUACCAAAUUUAAGAGUCUAUCUUCAAAUGCAGGACUUGCAUAUGCAAGAAUUAUUUCUUUGUUUUUUUUUAACUAUUCCUUUAUGAGUUCUGUAAAACAAAAGUAGUCUUGGUGAGUAAGUAGGGAAUUAGAUGGGCAGCCAACAAAAAAUGGAUUUGUGCUUAGUGGUUAUCCUAUUUUUUAAGGGACAUAAAUAAGAUAGAAAAUGAUCACUUACAAAUGUGAUCCAUACCAAAAAAAGUGGAAGUUGCUGCAAACAGCAACUAAAAAGGAAAAAACAGUUGAUAUCAUAUUUUCUUUCAAAAAGGGGGGAAAAAGAAGAUAACCAUGAGGUCUGUUAAAUUUGGGCCAGACCUAAUUCACCCCAAAAGCUAGCUCAAAGGGGAGGAGUGCCUAUGGCCCAUAUAAGGAGCACAUUACCCCUUUCCUCAACCGUUGUGGGAUUCAACACACCCCCUCACGCCCAGAAUUUUUACUGGUGCGUGGCACAUUUAUGGGGCGCCCAACAUCGGAUGGGGAGGCUUUGAUACCAUGUUAAUUUGGGUCAGGCCUAACUCACCCCAAAAGCUAGCUCAAGGGGGAGGUUUACUUAUGACCCAUAUAAGGGGCACAUUACCCCUUUCCACAAUCGAUGUGGGAUUCAACAAGGUCAAAGUUAGUUGAUUUGAGAUGCCUCAUGAUCAUAACCCAAUUCCACAACUUGGUCAAUUAGUAAUUUGAUAAGAGUUUUGUAUGUUAUUUAUGCUAUACCAUAGAUAGCACAAUGGUUCAACAGUUGAGUGGUUACCCCCAAAAAAUAUACUUCCAAAUCUUCAAUUUAUUUCAUCUUUCUUUUCCCUAUACAUUAUCCAAUAUCCAUUGAUAAGAUUGGAAGAAUUUCAGUCGUCAGUAGGUGAGUCAGGAGUGGGUGCUGCUGCAACCCAACGUUGUUGGCAGCAGCACAUGAUAGUGGCUGGUGAUACAAAACCACAUUACCAUCCAACAUAACCGUACCCUGUGCAAGAUUCUAUCAGUUAGUUGUACAUUUUUGAAGUGAACUUGAAUAUAUGAGGUGAAUCAAGAGAUAAUAACAAUAUGAUUUUGAGAAUUUAUGGUGUUUAUCUAAUUACAAACUGCUAUAUUAGAAAUUUCUUUGACGCAACGUGUGCAUUGAGAUUAAAGGUCAUGUGGUGAAGCAGGAUGUGGAUGACCAAUAUCUGAAAAUUAAUGAUUACCAGGUGUGGAACGGAAUCAAAGCAGGUGGAUGGUGGUGACUGUAACAUAUGAUGGGAAGUGAAUUUAUUAGAAAGGGGUAAGAUGAGCUCUUUUUCUGUUUUAGAUCUGAUGUGGCAACAGUUAAUUUAUUUUUAUUUUCUUGGCAUCACAAUUCAAUGCAGAAAAACCCCUGUUAAAAGCCAAUUAGUUCACCAUUUCUUAAUAGUUAGCGACAAAGGAUACCACAAUCAACAUCCAAAGAGAAUCAUCCUCAAGAGGAAAAACAUGGGAUGUGUUUCUACAUGGAAUGCAGAAGAUUAAGCCAGGAAACUCUUCAUUUUUUUUUUAUAAUUUGUUGCAUAACAUGGUCUAAUGUGCAUAAAGGGAACAUGGGAAUAAACAAAGGGAGAUCAAAGUGGGUGAUUAAAUUUGGAAAUCCUAUUGGCAUGCCAUUAUUGAAGGUACCUAAAAGAACAAAAUAACCAAUUAUCCAUGAAAGGGCAAUUUUUGCAUCUAUAACUCAGAAAGGUUAAUCAAAGAGGGCUUUGACUAUGAUAAUAUUUCAAAUGAAAAGGAAAAGGAAAAAUCCUGGUAACCAUGUAGCAGAAGUCCUUAACCUAGGAAGCUAAGUGAGCUGCACAUUCAGUAGCAAAAUCAAUUGAGUUAUGGGACUGGAAGGGCACCAUUCGUUCUUUGGGGGGAAAUGGCUCUUAUUUUUGAUAUCUGUCACCAUUUCUGGUUAGUCGGGAUGGAAAGAAACAGAAGGGUUUCAAUAAAGAGGAAUACAGUACUACACUGUUAGAGAUUGGGGGCCUAGGACCAUCAGACUUGGAAUUGUAGGUGUUAAAUUUGGGCCAGGCCUAACUCACUCCAAAAGCUAGCUCAAGGGGGAGGAGUGCCUAUGGCCCAUAUAAGGGGCACAUUACCCCUUUCCACAACCGAUGUGGGAUUCAACACACCCCCUCACGCUCAGAAUUUUUACUGGUGCGUGGCACAUUUAUAGGGCGCCCAACAUCGGAUGGGGAGGCUCUGAUACCAUGUUAAAUUUAAGUCAGGCCUAACUCACCCCAAAAGCUAGCUCAAGGGGGAGGAUUGCCUAUGACUCAUAUAAGGGGCACAUUACCCCUUUCCACAACCGAUGUGGGAUUCAACGCACCACCUCACGCCCAGAAUUUUUUACUGGUGCGUGGCACAUUUAUGGGGCGCCCAACAUCGGAUGGGAGGCUCUGAUACCAUGUUAAAUUUGGGCCAGGCCUAACUCACUCCAAAAGCUAGCUCAAGGGAGAGAGUGCCUAUGGCCCAUGUAAGAGGCACAUUAGCAUAGGCACUCCUUCCCCUUGAGCUAGCUUUUGGGGUGAGUUAGGCCUGACCCAAAUUUAACAUGGUAUCAGAGCCUCCCAUCCGAUGUUGGGAGCCCCAUAAAUGUGCCACGCACCAGUAAAAAAUUCUGGGCGUGAGGUGGUGCGUUGAAUCCCACAUCGGUUGUGGAAAAGGGUAAUGUGCCCCUUAUAUGAGUCAUAGGCAAUCCUCCCCCUUGAGCUAGCUUUUGGGGUGAGUUAGGCAUGACCUAAAUUUAACAGUAGGAAACAUUUUGCUGACAUUCACAUUGCUAAAUGUUAACGACUCACUUCUUUUUGUAUUUCUCAUGCCCUUGGUACCCAUUAGGGAUCUUCCUCAUUAGAACAAACAUGUAAGGCACACAACUAGGGAAAAA